rnacentral:rRNA from 2 species
CUAAAUGCGGAAGAGAUAAGUGCUGAAAGCAUCUAAGCACGAAACUUGCCCCGAGAUGAGUUCUCCCUGACUCCUUGAGAGUCCUGAAGGAACGUUGAAGACGACGACGUUGAUAGGCCGGGUGUGUAAGCGCAGCGAUGCGUUGAGCUAACCGGUACUAAUGAACCGUGAGGCUUAACCUUACAACGCCGAAGCUGUU